rnacentral:rRNA from 1 species
ACGCUGGCGGCAGGCCUAACACAUGCAAGUCGAGCGGUAGAGAGAAGCUUGCUUCUCUUGAGAGCGGCGGACGGGUGAGUAAUGCCUAGGAAUCUGCCUGGUAGUGGGGGAUAACGUUCGGAAACGGACGCUAAUACCGCAUACGUCCUACGGGAGAAAGCAGGGGACCUUCGGGCCUUGCGCUAUCAGAUGAGCCUAGGUCGGAUUAGCUAGUUGGUGGGGUAAUGGCUCACCAAGGCGACGAUCCGUAACUGGUCUGAGAGGAUGAUCAGUCACACUGGAACUGAGACACGGUCCAGACUCCUACGGGAGGCAGCAGUGGAGAAUAUUGGACAAUGGGCGAAAGCCUGAUCCAGCCAUGCCGCGUGUGUGAAGAAGGUCUUCGGAUUGUAAAGCACUUUAAGUUGGGAGGAAGGGCAGUUGCCUAAUACGUAACUGUUUUGACGUUACCGACAGAAUAAGCACCGGCUAACUCUGUGCCAGCAGCCGCGGUAAUACAGAGGGUGCAAGCGUUAAUCGGAAUUACUGGGCGUAAAGCGCGCGUAGGUGGUUUGUUAAGUUGGAUGUGAAAUCCCCGGGCUCAACCUGGGAACUGCAUUCAAAACUGACUGACUAGAGUAUGGUAGAGGGUGGUGGAAUUUCCUGUGUAGCGGUGAAAUGCGUAGAUAUAGGAAGGAACACCAGUGGCGAAGGCGACCACCUGGACUGAUACUGACACUGAGGUGCGAAAGCGUGGGGAGCAAAC